GGAGGAGUCGCAUAGCUUGGCCUAGUGCGCACGACUGGAAAUCGUGUUGGCGGGGAACCGUCUCGAGGGUUCGAAUCCCUCCUCCUCCG
rnacentral:tRNA from 7 species